rfam:Trichobilharzia regenti genome assembly, scaffold: TRE_scaffold0012797
AUCCAGGUGACGAGUCCCAAAUAGGGUGAAAUGCACAUCCUGGAU